AGCUAAUACCGCAUAACGUCGCAAGACCAAAGAGGGGGACCUUCGGGCCUCUUGCCAUCGGAUGUGCCCAGAUGGGAUUAGCUAGUAGGUGGGGUAACGGCUCACCUAGGCGACGAUCCCUAGCUGGUCUGAGAGGAUGACCAGCCACACUGGAACUGAGACACGGUCCAGACUCCUACGGGAGGCAGCAGUGGGGAAUAUUGCACAAUGGGCGCAAGCCUGAUGCAGCCAUGCCGCGUGUAUGAAGAAGGCCUUCGGGUUGUAAAGUACUUUCAGCGGGGAGGAAGGGAGUAAAGUUAAUACCUUUGCUCAUUGACGUUACCCGCAGAAGAAGCACCGGCUAACUCCGUGCCAGCAGCCGCGGUAAUACGGAGGGUGCAAGCGUUAAUCGGAAUUACUGGGCGUAAAGCGCACGCAGGCGGUUUGUUAAGUCAGAUGUGAAAUCCCCGGGCUCAACCUGGGAACUGCAUCUGAUACUGGCAAGCUUGAGUCUCGUAGAGGGGGGUAGAAU
rnacentral:rRNA from 1 species